GUGGACGAGGAAACGAUAAAUAUUCAUUUAACAUGGAACUUGUCCUGUUUCAGACAAGGUCACGUUGUCCGUGGUCACUGACGCCUUAGGCAACUCGAUAAUGAAUCAAGCCGAUGGACAAACAUGCAUUUUUACUCACACACAGCCUCACAACGGAUUAAUCACACAAGCGUUCCGUGCUCGUCGCUAGAUCAGAGUUAUAUAAAAGCUUAUGCUUCUUUAUUAUUAUUAUUAAUUUUUUUUUCCUUUUUUUUUUUUUUUUUUUAAAGCAAAAAUAAUUGCGCCUCGUCUCGAUUCGAGGUCGAUAUAUAUAUAUCCUGAUUUUACAAUUUGGAUUAUAUAGUAACAGUUUAGCUUUUAGAUCGUGCUUUUGAUUGAUUAAUAUUUCAUUCCGUUGAAAUUCUUCUCCAUAUACAUCUCUUUCCUUCUUUCCUCCUUUCCUUUUCUUUUUUUAAAUUUAAGACGCGAUUAAGAACCUUAAGCGUAUGUUGGAAUUUUACGCGGGUAGUGUGACAACGUGCAAGAGAUUAUAUUUGGCGAGAAAUGUUAUGUUGUACGUGAUCCAAAAUUUCUAUCAGAUGCGCGCAAGAUGGAAGAAAAUGAGCGAAAGAAACUUAUUUCAUACUAUAAAUAAUUUCAUUUUAGAAGUGGCCCCUUCUAAAAUGACAAUAUUGCUCGUGGGAUAACUUAGUUUUAAUCGAUGAUUAAAUUACGAUGGAAAUGUUGGAUCUGAAGGAUAACACGAUUGCAUGUGUGUACUUACAAACUGUUGUCGGUGACUGCCUUGGUGAUCUGACCGAGUUUCUCGCCGACGUUCUGAUAACUGAAUGAGAACCCAACCAAAAGUCAAAGAAAAGUGUUCUACAUGUCUGAAGAGCAGAAGUAGCAGAAAAUAAACGAAAAGGGUAUGGGAGGGCCGGUAGCCAUCACCUUGCGCGAAAUUAAAAAAAAAUUAACAUCGUUUAGAAGUGUGCGAAUACUUGCUUUUGGGUCGAGCAAAAAUUUUAGUUGCAUUCGACUUAAAAUUCCAAAAAUAUCAUCCUACGAAAUGAGGAUGAAAAGGCAUAAUAAGAUGUACUUUGGCCAAUUCUGCACUCCAUUCCGCCUUUUGACGAUUCUGUUCUUCCAAAGAAAGUCCUUGCAAUUCGUUCACCACGUUAUCUGACGUUGGCGAAAUGUAACCAGCUGAAUGGAGACUGGCGUCUUCUC